UACGGAAGAUGCGAGCGUUAUCCGGAUUUAUUGGGUUUAAAGGGAGCGUAGGCGGACUGUUAAGUCAGCGGUUAAAUGUCAAGGCCCAACCUUGUCGUGCCGUUGAAACUGGCGGUCUUGAAUGCACACAAGGGAGAUGGAAUUCGUCGUGUAGCGGUGAAAUGCUUAGAUAUGACGAAGAACUCCGAUUGCGAAGGCAGUCUCCUGGGGUGCUAUUGACGCUGAGGCUCGAAAGUGCGGGUAUCAAACAGG
rnacentral:rRNA from 1 species